CGUGGUCAUUGUUGUUUAAUCAGCCCUCGGUCGUGCCUAGCAGGAGACGCCAUUCGACUGUUGUUUUAAUGGCCACACGUGUCAUUAGACUAAUGUCAAAUCUCUCUGGCAGAUCUCCUCCUGGUCCUCCUCACACAAAGGAGCAGUUAACAGUCCUGCUGUUGAAGCUGAUGGUUCUGCACAGCACUCGUGUAACAGCUCUCCAGACUUUCAAGACUGCGCUGAGAGACACAGCAAACCUUCUGGUGAUGGCACAUAUGGAUGUGUCAUCCUGGAGGCGCUGGGCUACCAGUGCAACCUGAAUGUGCUGCAGGCAACGUUUCAUGCUGACAAGGACACUGACAAAAAGAAAAACCGGGCACUCUCCAGGAUAUCUGCUGUCACUUUUACUUGGAUAAGAGCAGAUGAAAUAUAUUCACAAUGGUUUAUGUUUACUAAGUUAUUGGUAUACCUAAAGUUUAAAUGAAUUUAUUUUAUACUGUGAUACUUAAUUUUUUUGAGCACUGUAUAUUUAGCCUUUGUCAAGGGGGUGUUUUAAUCUUCACAUAGAAAAAUAGCAAUGCACUGGCCAGCUGGAAAAAGGUGAAGUGGAAACUAAUUAUCUGGUGUUGCUGGUGAACACAGGUGGAAGUAAUAAAUCUUUGAAUGAGCCUAACAGUACUGCAAACUUGGGCAACAUUUAAAAUAGGAGUAAUAAGAACUCUGUUCUUCAGAACAUUUUUAGUUUAUCUUCUUUAAUGCAUCAACAAAUAGCUUGCCACUAUGCACUCUAUAUUAUUUGGUAUCAUGAAACAGGAA